AUACGGAGGGUGCAAGCGUUACUCGGAAUCACUGGGCGUAAAGCGCGCGCAGGCGGUCUUUUAAGUUGGAUGUGAAAGCCUACGGCUCAAUCGUAGAACUGCAUCCAAAACUAUUAGACUAGAGUGUGGGAGAGGAAGAUGGAAUUAGUUGUGUAGGGGUAAAAUCCGUAGAGAUAACUAGGAAUACCAAAAGCGAAGGCAAUCUUCUGGAACACUACUGACGCUGAGGCGCGAAAGCGUGGGGAGCAAACAGGAUUAGAAACCCUAGUAGUCC
rnacentral:rRNA from 1 species